rnacentral:rRNA from 1 species
CCUACGGGUGGCAGCAGUAGGGAAUAUUGCGCAAUGGGGGAAAGACUGACGCAGCAACGCCGCGUGAAGGAUGAAGGUUUUCGGAUUGUAAACUCCUUUUGAUAGAGAAGAAAAUGACGGUAUCUAACUUAUAAGCACCGGCUAACUCCGUGCCAGCAGCCGCGGGAAUACGGAGGGCGCACGCGUUAUUCGGAAUCACUGGGCGUAAAGAGGGCGUAGGCGGGGUAGCAAGUCAGAUGUGAAAUCCUAUGGCUUAACCAUAGAACUGCAUGUGAAACUGUAAUUCUAGAGUAUGGGAGAGGUAGGCGGAAUUCUUGGUGUAGGGGUGAAAUGCGUAGAUAUCAGGAAGAAUACUGAUUGCGAAGGCGGACUGCUGGAACAUAACUGACGCUGAUGCGCGAAAGCGUGGGGAGCAAACAGGAUUAGAUACCCGGGUAGUC